AGUGAACGCUGGCGGUAGGCCUAACACAUGCAAGUCGAACGGCAGCACAGUAAGAGCUUGCUCUUACGGGUGGCGAGUGGCGGACGGGUGAGGAAUACAUCGGAAUCUACUUUUUCGUGGGGGAUAACGUAGGUAAACUUACGCUAAUACCGCAUACGACCUACGGGUGAAAGCAGCGGAUCUUCGGACCUUGCGCGAUUGAAUGAGCCGAUGUCGGAUUAGCUAGUUGGCGGGGUAAAGGCCCACCAAGGCGACGAUCCAUAGCUGGUCUGAGAGGAUGAUCAGCCACACUGGAACUGACACACGGUCCAGAAUCCUACGGGAGGCAGCAGGUGGGAAUAUUGGACAAUGGGCGCAAGCCUGAUACAACAAUACCGAGUGGGUGAAGAAGGCCUUCGGGUUGUAAAGCACUUUUGUUGGGAUAGAAAAGCAGCAGGUUAAUACCACGCUGUUCUGACGGUACCCAAAGAAUAAGCACCGGCUAACUUCGUG
rnacentral:rRNA from 1 species